AUAGGCAUUUAUAUGUAUAAAUUUUUGGUUAUUAUAAACAACCUUAAAACAUUAGACAUUUGGACAUGUGAAUGAUCAUUUCCUUUAAAUAAAAUCCUAGAAAUGAAAUUCUUGAGGAAGAGUGCACAUAUUUCUAAGGAUUUUGACAUGAAUUUCCCACUUUUGUCUCCUUUUCCCCUUUCCUCAGGGCAGAUACAGGGUAUGAGAACAUUUGUUUUUCCAACCCCUCACCAACAGUGGAUAUUAUUGAUGUUUUCCCAUCUAUUGAGUGAAAAAUAGCAUCUAAUGGAUAUUUUAGUUUGCAGUUCAUUGACUAAUAGUAAAUCUAAUAAUAUUUGCUUAUGGUUAUUGGUCAUUUGUAGUAGGCAAUAUUGUACCAUAGUUUAUCAUCACAUUCUUUCUCCAAGAAAUGCCAUUAUCGACUCCUCUGUAGCUAAAAUUAGCGAGUAUAUGCUAAGCAAGUUUCUCUGUGUUAUUUUACAUGAGUUCUUAAGAAAAAAAGAUUAAAAGUAUGAUUUGGUAUAUGGUAUCUAAACUGAGGAUUCAGAAUCUGUGCUUUAUCGUUUUCUGUAAAAUUAGUCUAAUUUUGGAUUUUCUGUUGUACUCUGUCUUGCCAGUAGGAGUAUUACAAUAGAAAUAUGUCCGGCAUGUGCUAUUUCUAGCGAUCUGACCAUUUUCACUUUGCAAUAGCUGUGUUUCCCAGUGUGAGUUAAAUUUGGAUCAACUUUCCUUUUCCAUGUUUGCUGAACUGGGGCCCAGUCUGCUUUAACGUGAGCAUUUUUACAAGGGAGUUUUCUCUUGAUUAUGUUAGAGAGCAACUGGGCAUUGCUGAAAUAGCAGUAAUAAUCACUUUAGAAUUGUCUAUCAAUGAAUUCCUCAUAGUGCUUUCAUGGCAUUAACUAGUAUUAUCCUUCUUUAUAGAAAUAGGCUUCUGAAGUUUGAAAUGAAUAGGCAAAGUGACUUUGUAUGGAUAUUACCUCCAGUCUCAGUCCUUUUCACAGUCAUACUUCCUGGAUCAAUAGUAACAGGUGAUGUUAUCUGGGCUGGAGUGAGGAGUUGGAGGGUUUUUCUAUGUAUUUUUGUUCAAAACUGUCCACUUGUAUUAGUAUUAUGUUCUGCUUCUUAAAAAUAUGGUGCUUUUUUGCUAUCUUUUGAUCUUCUGAUUUUCUUUCAUUUUUGUAGGAUCUUUAAAUUCUACUGCUUGCUUUUUUCUUUUGCUUCACUACCAAUUAUCUAAAGCACACUUCUUUCUGAGAAAAAGUUACUUCUCCUCCUUAUGAAGUAAUGCCUCCCCAAACCUGCUAUUCACAUGUACUUUUAAGUCCCCUGCCUUCAAUUAUUCUAUAGUCAAUUUUCUGAUGCAGUAGAUAUUAGAUUCUUCUUAGUAUUUUCUCCCAAGGAGGGCAGGCCUCUUUUGAUGCUGAUGAUGAUUUUAUUUAUCUUCUUUCACCCCUGGGUGCACAGAGCUCUCUCUUCUUUUCUGCAUAGUGUUUGCCUGACCUUCCAGUUUGCCUUGGUCUCUGGAGCUGAUUUUGCUGGUGUGGAAUGUUUGUUUCCCUAUACACUUGCGGAGUAACUUAUAUAGUAUGUUCUGUCUUUUUGGCUAUACUAUACUAUACUAUAGGCAUGGAUUACAGGUGAUUCUGUAUGGUCUCUUUAUUGAACAAUAUGGCUUUUGGAUAGUCUAUAUAGAAAUUCAGAUUCAGGUGGUCACUCAUUCACUAGGACACAGAACUUUAUGCCCCACAUACUUUUUAUUUAAUAAAUAACACUAAAACAUGAAGAUUUCUUGCUUA
rnacentral:lncRNA from 1 species